CAUGCCGCGUGUGUGAAGAAGGCCUUAUGGUUGUAAAGCACUUUAAGCGAGGAGGAGGCUACUUUAGUUAAUACCUAGAGAUAGUGGACGUUACUCGCAGAAUAAGCACCGGCUAACUCUGUGCCAGCAGCCGCGGUAAUACAGAGGGUGCGAGCGUUAAUCGGAUUUACUGGGCGUAAAGCGUGCGUAGGCGGCUUAUUAAGUCGGAUGUGAAAUCCCCGAGCUUAACUUG
rnacentral:rRNA from 1 species